UUGGCCUCAAAUCGAGUAGGACUACCCGCUGAACUUAAGCAUAUCAAUAAGCGGAGGAAAAGAAACUAACAAGGAUUCCCCUAGUAACGGCGAGUGAAGAGGGAAAAGCUCAAAUUUUGAAUCUGAUGCCUUUGGUAUCCGAAUUGUAAUCUAGAGAAGUGUUUUCUGUGAUGGACCGUGCACAAGUCUCCUGGAAUGGAGCGUCAUAGAGGGUGAGAAUCCCGUAUAUGGCACGGACUCCCAUUGCUCUACGAUACACUCUCGACGAGUCGAGUUGUUUGGGAAUGCAGCUCCAAAUGGGUGGGUAAAUGCCAUCUAAAGCUAAAUAUUGGCGAGAGACCGAUAGCGAACAAGUACCGUGAGGGAAAGAUGAAAAGCACUUUGGAAAGAGAGUGAAACAGUACGUGAAA
rnacentral:rRNA from 1 species